rnacentral:rRNA from 1 species
UAUGUAGGAUGCAAGCGUUGUCCGGAAUUACUGGGCGUAAAGGGCGCGCAGGCGGCUCAUUUUGUCAGGCGUGAAAGCCCCGGGCUUAACCUGGGAACUGCGUUUGAUACGGAUGGGCUAGAAUUCGGGAGAGGAGAGUGGAAUUCCCAGUGUAGAGGUGAAAUUCGUAGAUAUUGGGAAGAACACCGGUGGCGAAGGCGGCUCUCUGGACCGAUACUGACGCUGAGGCGCGAAAGCGUGGGGAGCAAACAGG